rnacentral:lncRNA from 1 species
UAAAGGAGGAAAAUUAGAAUUUAAAGAUUGAAAUAAAUAAAAUAUGGGACCAAAUGGCCAAGUAUAUUAAGAGGAUAAUGAUAUUCUAGGAGAGAGAAAAGAAAAAAAUAUGCACAUAAGGAAACAUGGUGGUGGAAUAAUAAGGUAUAAAAGACAAUUAAAAAAAAGUAAAUUUCCUUUAAACAACAGGAAAAAACUAUUAAGGAUUUUAUACAAUAUUAGUUAGCUAAGAAAGAUAAAAAAGAUUAGUAAGUAAGGCUAAACUAAACCUUAAAAAAGAAAGAAAUAAAAAUAUUAAUCAAGUUAGAUGUAUUAAAAAAUAAAGAUAAGAGUAUUAAUGAAAGAUGAAGAAAUUAAAAAAAUAUGAUAUUAUUUUGAAAAAUUGUUAAUUAAGAAUCCUGCUAAACUUUAUUUAAAAAAAAUUAAGAUCAAAUAAAAGGUAAAAAUGACUAAAUAGAAGUUGAA